rnacentral:lncRNA from 1 species
AGAUGACUAAAAACAUUAUUAAACCAGAUCCAGUAUGCAGCAUACAAGAAAAGAGGGUAUUUCAAGGAGUAGAACGAGAAGGUGGUGGAGAAAAGGAAGGAAUAGAGGGAACUGCAGUUGGGAUUGAGGGAAUGCUUGGCAGAGGCGGCAGUCCUCUUGGCAAUGUGGUAGGAAGUGGAGGAAGCGCCCCAGGGUUUGGGAUAUUAGGGAAAGAUGGCAAUGGCGGAAAAGAGAAAGGAAUAGGGGGAAUUGCAGUUGGGAUUGUGGGGACUGAGGGAAUGCUUGGCAGAGGGGGCAGUCCUGUUGGGAAUGUGGUAGGAAGUGGAGGAAGCGCCCCAGGCCAUAAGAAUGAUGGUCGGGAUGGCGUUGGGAGAUUAGGGAAAGAUGGUAAACUUUGCGUUCGAGGCUGCUGCAGAAGGUGACGAGCUGCUACCCCAACAUCAAUGCCUGCAAAUGACAAAGCAAUCAAGAAUGCUAAAGCAAAGCAAUUGAAAGAGGCCAUUUUUGUUCAAAGAUUUUGAAACAAAUGAAGCAGAUGAAACGAAGUUCUUUAUCUGAAUAGUUGUGAGUGAGGAAAACAAAGCAUGGUAUUGAGGUUUAUAUAGGCAUUGGAGCAGUGAAUAGAAAUCCCCUGCCCCUAAACAAUGCUCCAUGCAUGCCCUCAAACCAAAAUAGCUCCACAUGUUUUUUAUUUUUUUCAUUUUAAUUUUUUUAAAUAAAAACUCUGUAAUGAUUUGAAUUAAUUUUUAACUUAUUAUCAACGUUUUUAUUUUUGUUUUAUUUUUAUUUUACAUUAAUUUUACCUAUUCUUUAAUUAAAAAAUUUAUAAUGACUUAGAGUUAAUUUGAGAGAGUUUUUUUUAUAAUUGGUCUUAUAAUAAAAUUUUACAAAGCAGAAACAAGUUCCACUGUGAAAACAUGAUCCUUAAAUUUUUGGAGAUAACCAUGUUAAUUUUUUAAUCCCAACCAAAAUUCGAAAUAAUUCUUUUAUGUCAUAUUAAAUACACGUAACGUCUUAUAAAAAUUGUCAAUAAAUUAUGCAUAGUGACAAGGUUAUUCAAAUCUAAUUUCAUUGUUAAUACCUAUUUUUAUUUUUCUUCUACUGUCUUCAACUUUAAAUAUAAAGGGAUUGAAAUUUUAAGAAUUGAGAUUUCUUUUCUCUGUAUUAGCGGACGUCUUAUUUUUUGUUUGAUUGUUUUUUUUACUGGAAUUGACACAUAUCUUUUCAGAUUUAUCAAUAUUUUUAAAAUUUAUUUAAGAUAUUAUUGGGAAUUAUCCAUAUUUAUGGAAAAUCAAAGAUAUGGGUAUCAAAUAUUGGAAAGUCAAAGAUAUGGGUAUCGAGAUAUUGGCAUAAUAAAAUCUGAGAUAUUUGCAAUAUAUGGUCCCUAAUUGUAAAGUGACUUUGCAAGUUGAUCCCUGAACCUCAACUAUAAAUAGGCAUAACCAUCUCUCAUUCUGUAUCUCAAACUUGCCAUUCUCUACUUAAGGCAUUGUUUUCUCUCUCUCUCUUUGUAAAUUCUCACUUGUAUUUUGGAGUGAAAUAUAUUUGGUAGUGCCCGAGGACGUAGGCAAAAUUUGCUGAACCUCAUUAAAUUCUUGUGUUCUUUAUUGUAUUAUUCUGCAUGAAUUGUGUGUGUGAUUGUAGUGAUUUAUUGUGCUAUUAAAUUACGAUUGAGGGAUAUUCUGGCUAGGAAAGACCUGGUACUUAAGUGAUCCUUGUGAUCCACCUCUCUUUCCUGGGAAUUGAACUUAGUGUGAUUUUUUAGUACAAUAAUUUUACUCUUUUACACGCUUCCGCACAACAAUUGGUAUCAGAGCUAGAUUCGUACUUGAGGAAUACGAUCGUUCACGGCACUGUUCACGUACUGUAGUUGGGAUUGAGGAGAAAAAGAUGGAAAAGUCAUCGUCAAAGACUACUGUGACCAAUGCGAAAUUUGAAGUAGAGAAAUUUGAUGGUACCAAUAAUUUUGGUAUGUGGCAAUGUGAGAUCCUGGAUGUCUUAUGUCAACAAGAGCUGGAUAUAGCCCUUGAAGAAAAACCUGACAAGAUGGAUGACAAGGAGUGGGCCAAGAUCAAUAGACAGGCAUGUGGAACAAUUCGCCUAUGUUUGGCCAAAGAGCAGAAGUACUCUGUCAUGAGGGAGACAUCAGCGAAGAAGUUGUGGGAUACACUGGAAGAAAAGUUUCUAACAAAAAGUCUUGAAAAUAGGCUUUAUAUGAAAAAAAAACUUUAUCGAUUCACGUAUGCACCCGGUAUGUCGAUGAAUGACCAUGUGAACUCAUUCAAUAAAAUUUUAGCAGACUUGCUAAAUUUGGAUGAGAAAUUUGAAGAUGAAGACAAGGCAUUAUUGUUGUUGAAUUCCCUUCCUGAUGAAUAUGAUCAUCUUACCACCACAUUGCUUCAUGGGAAGGACACGAUCACAUUUGAUGCAGUCUGUAGUGCGUUGUAUAGAUCUGAGACUCGAAAGAAAGAUAAAAGAGAUCACAGAGAUACAACCGCAGAAGUCUUAACAGUAAGAGGUCGUUCACACAGUAGCAAAUCUGGUAGAAGGGGAAAGUCCAAAGGGAGACCCGCCAAAGAUGAAUGUGCCUUUUGCCGUGAAAAAGGGCAUUGGAAAAAGAAUUGUCCUAAGCUACAAAAGGGCAAGGCUAUUUCUAAUGCAUGUGUAGCGGAGCAUGAUGAGGAGUCAGACUUUAGCUUGGUUGGCAUGGCAAUGGCAUGUCAAACGGAUGAGUGGAUUUUGGAUUCAGGAUGUACUUACCAUUUGUGCCCUAAUAAGGACUGGUUUUCUAGUCUUAAAGAGCUAGAAGGUGGAAUUGUUCUUAUGGGAAAUGAUAGUGCUUGUAAGACAAUGGGAGUGGGUACAGUCCAAUUGAAGAAUCACGACGGCUCAAUCCAAGUCUUGACAGAUGUUCGCUACGUACCUAGCCUGAAGAAAAAUCUCAUCUCAUUAGGUGCCCUAGAAUCUAAAGGGCUCACAAUCACUUUGAGAGAUGGAUUACUAAAAGUAGUAGCUGGGCAACUGACGGUGAUGAAAGGCACAAGAAGAAAUAACUUGUAUUUUUUAAAUAGAAGUACAGUUAUUGGAUCAACAUCAACAGUUUCUACAAAAGAUGUAGAUUCAGAGGCUACCAGAUUAUGGCAUAUGCGAUUGGGACAUGCUGGUGAAAAAGCUUUGCAGACAUUGGUGAAGCAAGGCUUAUUGAAAGGUGCAAAUUCUUGCAAAAUGGAAUUCUGUGAACAUUGUGUUCUGGGCAAGCAGAAGAGGGUAAAAAUUGGUCCAGCAAUUCACAAUACGAAAGGAAUUCUGGACUACGUUCACAGUGAUGUGUGGGGACCUACCAAAGUAGCUUCUUUGGGAGGUAUGCACUAUUUUGUUACUUUUGUUGAUGAUUAUUCAAGAAAAGUAUGGGUGUAUCUAAUGAAAAGAAAAAGUGAAGUUUUGGAUGCAUUUCUGAAAUGGAAGAAGAUGGUGGAGACUCAGACUGGUCGAAAGGUCAAACGACUUCGAUCAGAUAAUGGUACUGAGUACAAAAACGAUCCAUUUCUACAAGUACGCCAAGAUGAGGGCAUUGUGCGACACUUCACUAUUCGGGAUACACCACAGCAAAAUGGGGUGGCAGAACGAAUAAAUCGAACUAUACUGGAGAAAGUUCGAUGUAUGUUGUCCAAUGCUGGAUUGGGCAAAGAAUGUUGGGCUGAGGCAGUUACAUAUGCGUGCCAUCUAAUUAACUGUUUGCCAUCAGUUGCAAUAAAUGGAAAAACUCCUAUGGAGAUGUGGACUGGUAAAUCUGCUACUGAUUAUGAUUCUUUGCAUGUAUUUGGUUCCACUGCAUAUUAUCAUGUAAAAGAAUCUAAGUUAGACCCAAGAGCAAAGAAAGCAUUAAUCUUGGGUAUAACUGAUGGAGUAAAAGGAUAUCGUCUCUGGUGUCCUGAUACAAGGAAGAUUGUUUUCAGUAGAGAUGUGACUUUUGAUGAAUCAACCAUGUUGAAGUACAAGGAUUCACAAAAGGAUGACAAAACCAGUAGCACUUUGUAGCAGGUGGAGCUUGAAAAGGUUAACGAUGAUCCAGCUAAUAUUGAAGGGACAAAUGAUGAAGAGGUUCCUACCCAAGAAUCUCUACAGCAACAAGAUUCAAUUGCAUAUAGAAGGCCAAGAAGAGAGAUUCGUAAGCCUGCUCGCUUUGAUGAUAUAAUGGCCUAUGCACUUCCAAUUACAGAUGAUGAUGUUCCUUCUACUUACACAGAAGUAAUAAGUAACCCUGAUGGUGUAAAGUGGAAGCAAGCAAUGAAUGAAGAAAUGCAGUCUCUUCAUAAAAAUAAGACCUAGGAGUUGGUGGCACUACCCAAGGGAAAGAAGGCAAUUGGAUGCAAAUGGGUAUAUGCAAAGAAGGAAGGAUUUCCUAAUAAAAAUGAAAUUCGAUACAAGGCUAGAUUAGUAGCAAAGGGUUACGCUCAGAAAGAAGGAAUAGACUACAAUGAAGUGUUUUCUCCAGUUGUGAAGCAUUCGUCUAUUCGGAUCUUGCUAGCCUUGGUUGCGCAAUAUGAUCUUGAACUAGUUCAGCUUGAUGUGAAGACCGCGUUUUUACACGGUGAUUUGGAAGAGGAAAUCUAUAUGACUCAGCCAGAUGGAUUCAAGGUUGCUGGAAAAGAAAAUUGGGUUUGCAAACUGACAAAGUCGCUUUAUGGAUUGAAGCAAUCUCCAAGGCAGUGGUACAAGCGAUUUGAUCAGUUCAUGAAAGGGCAAAGGUACACAAGAAGUAAAUUUGAUCAUUGCGUGUAUUUUCAGAAGCUACAAGAAGGAACUUUCAUAUACUUUCUCUUAUAUGUUGAUGAUAUGCUAAUAGCAUCUAAGAGCAAAGUUGAGAUUGAAAGAUUGAAGACUCAACUCAAUCUCGAGUUUGAGAUGAAAGAUUUAGGAGAAGCUAAAAAGAUUCUCGGCAUGGAAAUUUGGAGAGAUAGAGCUCAUGAUAGAGUUAGCUUGUCUCAGAAGCAGUAUUUGAAAAAGGUACUACAGCAGUUUGGCAUGAACGAGCAGACAAAACCUGUAAGUACCCCGUUGGCUUCUCAUUUCAAGCUUUCUGCACAACUAUCUCCUUCGACGAAUACGGAACGAGAAUACAUGUUGCAAGUUCCGUAUUCUAAUGCAGUGGGUAGCUUGAUGUAUGCAAUGGUGUGUACAAGACCCGACAUUUCACAGGCAGUUAGUAUAGUGAGCAGGUAUAUGCAUAAUCCUGGAAAAGGACAUUGGCAAGCUGUGAAAUGGAUUCUACGGUAUAUUCAUAAGACCAUGGAUAUUGGAUUACUGUUCAAGCAGGAUACUACACUUGGUAAAGGUGUUGUUGGGUACGUUGAUUCUGAUUAUGCCGGUGAUUUGGACAAACGAAGAUCAACCACUGGUUAUGUGUUUACUCUUGCUGAAGGACCAAUAAGUUGGAAGUCUACACUGCAGUCUACAGUUGCGUUGUCAACCACAGAAGCUGAAUACAUGGCUGUAACAGAGGCUGUAAAGGAAGCUAUUUGGUUACAAGGUAUGGUUAAAACCUUGGGAUUGGUCCAGGAGCAUAUUAAUGUGUAUUGUGAUAGUCAAAGUGCUAUUCAUUUAGCAAAGAAUCAAGUCUAUCAUGCACGUACAAAGCAUAUCGAUGUACGUUUCCACUUUGUGCGGGAAAUUAUUGAUGAGGGGAAAAUUCACCUUCAAAAGAUUAAGACUGCAGAUAAUCCCGCAGAUAUGAUGACCAAGGUGGUAACAACAAUCAAGUUCGAACAUUGUUUGAACUUGAUCAAUAUUCUGCAUGUUUAACAGUUGAAGAAGGCACUAUCAAGUGUUGUUGACAAAGGCAGAGAGAAUUGUGUGAAGAUAAGAUUACUCGAAUCAAAUCUUCAAGGUGGAGAUUAUUGGGAAUUAUCCAUAUUUAUGGAAAAUCAAAGAUAUGGGUAUCAAAUAUUGGAAAGUCAAAGAUAUGGGUAUCAAAUAUUGGAAAGUCAAAGAUAUGGGUAUCGAGAUAUUGGCAUAAUAAAAUCUGAGAUAUUUGCAAUAUAUGGUCCCUAAUUGUAAAGUGACUUUGCAAGUUGAUCCCUGAACCUCAACUAUAAAUAGGCAUAACCAUCUCUCAUUCUGUAUCUCAAACUUGCCAUUCUCUACUUAAGGCAUUGUUUUCUCUCUCUCUCUUUGUAAAUUCUCACUUGUAUUUUGGAGUGAAAUAUAUUUGGUAGUGCCCGAGGACGUAGGCAAAAUUUGCUGAACCUCGUUAAAUUCUUGUGUUCUUUAUUGUAUUAUUCUGCAUGAAUUGUGUGUGUGAUUGUAGUGAUUUAUUGUGCUAUUAAAUUACGAUUGAGGGAUAUUCUGGCUAGGAAAGACCUGGUACUUAAGCGAUCCUUGUGAUCCACCUCUCUUUCCUGGGAAUUGAACUUAGUGUGAUUUUUUAGUACAAUAAUUUUACUCUUUUACACGCUUCCGCACAACAGAUAUGUAUAUAAAUAUAUUACAAAUAUAAGAUAAAUGAAACUAAAUACAUUUCAAAUAUAAAAUAUUCAUUAAUAAAUUGAACAAAUAAAAAUUUAUCAUUCAAAUAAAUCUAAAAGUAUUAAUAACAAUCCAUCAUUUAAUAUGAAAUUUUAUGGAUUUAGCUCAUUUACUUAAUAAAAGAAGCUAAAAGGUGAACGAAUAUAUUUUUUCUUUGAUAAUCAGGUGAACGGUUUUUUCUUAAUUAUAUUUUGAAUGUGAAAGUAUAUUCCAUUUUUUAAAAAACUUUACAUUCCGAUGUAACAUUUUUAAUUAGUCACGUUUCAAUUAAGUUUUUAGCAUAAUAGUAAAUAAUUAAAAGUUUAAUAUUUUUAAUAUUAUUCAUGCACAGGACGGUGCAUUAUGUUCUGGCAAGUGUGACAGGAAUUGAUCGGAAUGAGUUGGUGCAAUUGGUACGGACCGAAAUUUUAACCAGUGUAGAAAAAGCGUGUUGGGUGUUUCGCAAUGUUAUUGAAACCAAACUAAACAGACCAAGAACCGAUGAACCCGAGGACUAGAGCAAGCUGCAGUUAAACUACAAAUCAUCAGCUGGUUAAGCCGUAUUUUAACAUUUUCUAAACUGGAAAACUGAAAAUUUCACUUCAAAUCGCUUGAGCUUUUGUCACACUUCUUCUCUGCACUCAAUGAAAUAAAACACAGCAUAAAAAUAUAAGCACCAUUUCUUUUAUUACUUUUUCUACUAAAAUAAGUUUUUUUUUUCUCGUAAAAAACCUAAGAUGGGGAGAAGAUUUUAAAAUUCAAAACCUUCGAAAUAUAUGAGUUUGAGGUUGUUAAUAUUAUUUUAUAUUUUUGAAUAGUAAAUUAAUUGUAUUGGUGGUUUAACUUAUUGGAUCGAGAAUUAAUGAUUUGAUUGAUUUGAGUUUGUGCUGCUCACUAUCUAGAUUGCAUUUAUCAUUUAAUUCUUUUUUUAAUUAGCCAAAAUCAUGUUAACAAUUCAUGGACCGAACAUCAAUAUAUAAAUACACAAACAAAUAUAAUGGGAAUUGGAGAACUCCCAUUUAUGCAAACAAAUAUAAGUGGACAAAUUCAAUACUCAUAAUAAAUACACAAAGAUGACUAAAAACAUUAUUAAACCAGAUCCAGUAUGCAGCAUACAAGAAAAGGGGGUAUUUCAAGGAGUAGAACGAGAAGGUGGUGGAGAAAAGGAAGGAAUAGAGGGAACUGCAGUUGGGAUUGAGGGAAUGCUUGGCAGAGGCGGCAGUCCUCUUGGCAAUGUGGUAGGAAGUGGAGGAAGCGCCCCAGGGUUUGGGAGAUUAGGGAAAGAUGGCAAUGGUGGAAAAGAGAAAGGAAUAGGGGGAAUUGCAGUUGGGAUUGUGGGGACUGAGGGAAUGCUUGGCAGAGGGGGCAGUCCUGUUGGGAAUGUGGUAGGAAGUGGAGGAAGUGCCCCAGGCCAUGAGAAUGAUGGUCGGGAUGGCGUUGGGAGAUUAGGGAAAGAUGGUAAACUUUGCGUUCGAGGCUGCUGCAGAAGGUGACGAGCUGCUACCCCAACAUCAAUGCCUGCAAAUGACAAAGCAAUCAAGAAUGCUAAAGCAAAGCAAUUGAAAGAGGCCAUUUUUGUUCAAAGAUUUCGAAACAAAUGAAGCAGAUGAAACGAAGUUCUUUAUCUGAAUAGUUGUGAGUGAGGAAAACAAAGCAUGGUAUUGAGGUUUAUAUAGGCAUUGGAGUAGUGAAUAGAAAUCCCCUGCCCUUAAACAAUGCCCCAUGCAUGCCCCCAAACCAAAUUAGCGCCACAUGUUUUUUAUUUUUUCCAUUUUAAUUGUAGUUCAUUUUUUAAAUAAAAAAUUUAUAAUGAUUUGAAUUAAUUUUUAACUUAUUAUCAACGUUUUUAUUUUUGUUUUAUUUUUAUUUUACAUUAAUUUUACCUAUUAUUUAAUUAACAAAUUUAUAAUGACUUAGAGUUUAUCUAAUAGAGGUUUUUUUUUAUAAUCGGUCUUAUGAAAAAAUUUUAUAUGGUGGGAACAAGUCCCACAGUGACAACAUGAUCCUUCAAUAUUUGGUGGUGGCAUGCCUUUAGUCAAAGGAUCAGCUAACAACUGCUCAAUGCUAAUGUGCUCAAUGACCAAUUUCUUUUCUUUAACAUGUUCCCUCAUGCCUAGGUACUUAAAGUCGAUAUGUUUACUUCGACUUCCACUUCUUCCGUUCUUAGCCAUAAAGACAGCAGUUGAAUUGUCACAAUAUAUGAAAUAAUCAAAACCCAUAAUGACUCAGCCCAAAAAUCUCGAGCUUCAAACCCAAAUUAAAUUAAAUCAAAACCAUAAUUUAUUAUGUACAAUUGCACAAAAUUAAUAUAAUUUAAGUGUGUCAUACUGCACAUUAAAUUAAAAUUUACGUUUGACAUUAUAGAUAAUAUUCACGUGUAAAAUUUUGAGAUUUAUUCCCUUAAUUAAAGUAAUAUGUCAAAUAGAAUACUUGAACAAUCCUCCAUGUUGGCAAAGUUUAUGUACAGUAGUAGAAGCGAACUAAAUAAUUAGAAUAACUCUAAAGUAUGGCUUACAUAUAAUUUAUUCACAAUGUGACUUAAACUUUGUCCUUCAAGAUUUCACGGUCUCAAUUUAUGUCUUAAAAUUUUAAGAUUAUUUUAGGUUUGUUAAAAAAUUAAAAGUUUAGAAAGUUAGAAUUGUUGCUUGAGGCGUGAAUAUCUUUAUUCUUUAGGAUAUUUGCGGAUUUACCAUCUCUCGGGAUUUUGUUUGUAUCAUGCACAAUGAAAAAAUUGAAAAAAAAAAUUUCACAUUUGAAUGGAAUUGAGCUGUUAGGCUCAAGCCUCAUGUGCGCAUAUAUAUUCUCUUAUUUUGAGUCUUACAAGUUUAUAGUAAACCAAAUCUAUAUAAACAUCAUUUCAUUAGGUCAAUCUAAAAUAUGUUUAAUAUGUGUAAUUCUUUAAAAUAGAUGAAAACUUCAAAUAUGGUUUAGGUCAUUUUCAGAUUUGUCUUAUUUUAGGUUCAAAUCAUUCGAAUUUGAGGCUAAGUUUUUCAUGUCUAAUCAUUAUUGAUCCGAAUCAUUUUAGAUUUUGAUCAUUUUAAGUUCCAAUUAUUUUGUGAUCAAAUCAUUUCAAGUUUAGAUAAAUUUGGGUCGAUUCGAAUUUGACUUAAUUACGUAGUUAACUUUUUUUAUAAUAAAUUGAGCUGAAUGAAAGUUAGAUUGGAAUUUAUUUAGUGUGCCUUUGUGUUUAAUUCGAAAUUUAAACAUCUCCCUUCGAAAUAAACAUGUUAAGACAAUUUUAUUUAAACGACAAUAAUACAACAUAGUUGAUUUGGGAGAUAAACAUGUUAAUUUUUUAAUCCCAACCAAAAUUGUACAUAAUUCUUUUAUGUCAUAUUAAAUACAUGUAGCGUCUUAUAAAAAUUGUCAAUAAAUUAUGCCUAGCGACAACGUUAUUCAACUCUAAUUUCAUUGUUAAUACCUAUUUCUAUUUUUCUUCUACUGUCUUCAACUUUAAAUAUAAAGGGAUUGGAAUUUUAAGAAUUGAGAUUUCUUUUCUCUGUAUUAGUGGACGUUUGAUUUUUUGUUUGAUUGUUUUUUUUACUGGAAUUGACACAUAUCUUUUCAGAUUUAUCAAUAUUUUAAAAUUUAUUUAAGAUAUGUAUAUAAAUAUAUUACAAACGUAAUGGCCCAAUAUUGCCCGGCCCGAUAAUAAAAUAUGAUAAAAUAAAUAAAGGUCCAAUGUCCAGCUUUUACAAACCCAAAAUCAAUACGGCCCAAUUAGCCUAAACCCAAUUAGCUUUAACCCAAACUCUAGCCUAGCCCAAAACCCAAUUUAGCCCAAGACUCUUCCCAAACCCCGAAAACCCUAGCAGCAACAGGAGCCUCCUUCCAGCGCUGCAACCAUAAGCUGGGCUUCUCCACGCACACACUGCCACGCACAUCUCUGUACGACCACCUCCAUACCUCCAGGCUGGCCGAAUACCUGCAAAAAAAAACGCACGGAAACAACAGCAAACAGAAAAACAACAGCAUAGAGGUGAAUUUUUAAUUAUUUUUUCAUUUUAUUUUUUGUAAAUCGGGAUAUAAGAAAGCCAUUCGAAUACUGUAACGGGAUUUACGCAUUCAAUAUACAAAGAAAUUGAGAAUACAAAAGAAUCAAAAAAGCAGAGAAAGGUGAUUUUCUGGGUUUUUUUAUUCCUUUCUAUCUUGUUGGUUACUUGAUUUUUUUUCUUUACUUUUUUAAUUUGUACAUUCAUCAAUCGUUGUUUAAAAAAGAAAUAGGAAAAUGAAAGGGAGGGAAACGUACCUGGUAGCGCGAUCCUGGCUCUCUCCGGCGUCAUUGGAGCAGGGGCUGGGAUCAAUGACUGCUCGAGUACCUUCAAUACCCAGAACGGCGCUGAGUUUUUUUUUCCGUUUAGGUUUUUGUUUUAAUGUAAAGAUAGGUUUUUAGGGUUUAUUUAGUUUUAAGCGAAGGAAUUAAAAUGUCGAUGUUUAAAGUCGAUGCAAUGACUUUGAAACAGCGUCGUUUUAGAGACCAGAUCCGAACGGUGACCCGAUCCGAGAAGGAUCCGUGCAUUAUGGAUCAUUUGGUCUAUUUGUUCAAUAGAUCCAUCUAUGUUUAAUGGAAUUGCGAUUUGAUUUCUUUUAAUUUUUUGUAAUUCGUACUGCAUAUUUUGUUCUGUUUUCAUUUAUCUGUUUUCAUUUAGAUCCAGAUUGAAACGGUAUCGUUUGCUGCAUUUGACUUUGAUUAUUCUAAGCUUUUAGGUUUAAUUGUCGAUUCAGUCCUCCAAUUUUGAAAUAAAUUUUAAUUUAACAUGAGUUUAGCCUUUUAAAAAAAAAGAAAUGAAUAGCAUUUUUUUAAUUAUAAUUAAUCCUAUUUUCGUACAUUAUAAAAUCUAACAUUAUUUGUACUAUUUGAUUUUGAUGUUUUUAAAUCUACAAUUAUUAUAACUUAAGAUAUAAUAGAUCAUUGUUUUAGUUUAUAUCCUAUACUUUAAAUUUAUUAUAUAAUAAUAUUUUGAAUCUACCAUAUUUAUUUAAUUUUGUCUUUUCCUUUUGGUUCCAUUUUAAGUCCCGAUUUUAAAUUUAUUAAUAUUUUCAUUAUAAUUGUUUUUAUUACUCUUCUAAAUUGUUUUAUUAUAUUUAAUUUUGUCUUCAAAAAGUGUUUUUUAAAACAAAUUAAUUCUUAAUUUUAAUUCAUUUUCUAACAUUAUUUUGGUAUUUAGUAUGAUAUUAUUCUCAAAUUUAUUAUUAGUACAUUUUUUAAAAAUAAUACAUUAUUUGUUUAAAUUAUUAUCAAUAUGUUUUAAUUUUAUCAAUAUUAUUUUAAAAAUAUAUAUGAUUUAUAUGAAAUUAUUCUAGUAUAUAUGUAUAUAGAUUACAUCAUUAACUUUGGAUUAACCUCUUUUACAUAAUUUUUUAAAAAUGUUUUAUUCCUUAAACCUUCUUUAUUUUAUUCGUUUUAUAGGUUGCUAAAUUAUUAAUAUGGAUGUUUGUAUGACAUGAUUAAGAUCAAGGUUUAUAUUUUCCUAUUAUUUGUUUAAUUGCUUCUAGUUUAAGUUUAAGUUGUUAUUUAUCUUUUAUAUAUCGUUAUUCAAUCAUGUUUCAUUUGUAAGAGUUGAAUUUUAUUAAAGCAUCAUAAUUCCUAAAAAAGCUUGGUGUUUAAUAGUUCUCGAGAGAAUUGUGCCCUAACUUACUGGGCUUCAAUUCUUCUCGAUGAAUUUAUAUCAUCAAGUAUCCAUUUUAUAUAAUUUUAAAAUAAAAUUCUUUAGAUUUCAAAAUGUGGGAUCCUAACUUACUGGAUACGACAUUUUGUUAUCUCGAUUUUAAAAUAAAGGUAAUAUUUGAUGUUUAAGAAUUUCGAGAAAUUGAACCCUAACUUACUAGAUUCUGAUUUCUCGAUUGACUUAAAUAGUCAAAUAUCCUUCUUAAAACAUGUUUAAAAUUUUUUAAAAAGGGACGAACUUAACUUCGAAGAUUGAACUGUUGCACUCUAACUCACUGAGUGUGGCAAUUUGUUUCUUUGAAAUGGGUCCGUCCACUUAACCAAUUCAAUUGUUUAAGCUUUCAUUUCAUGGGAUCGUAUUUAAAAAUAUUUUCAAGUUUCGACACUAAGACAUUAAAUAACCAAUUCGGUACCAAUUUUGGGCGUUACAAGGGUGCUAACCCUUCCUCAUGCGUAACUGACUUUCGAACUUAUCUUCUCAAAAUUCGCAGACCAAAAAAAUUAUUUUCAUGGUGAUCCGAUCACACCUCAACAAAAAUUGGUGGCGACUCCAAUUUUCAUUUUUUAAAGUCGACUACUAAUAAAUUUUUGUGUUCAAAAAAUGGUUUCGAUAGCUUGGCGACUCCACUGGGGACUAUAAGAGAGUCAAGCCGAAAAAUCGAUUGUUUCCUGUCUUAUCGUCGAAAAUUAAAAAUUUGAUUUGAAAAAUUACGAUCCUUUCUUUGCAUUUGUUUGUAUGAUUACGGUUUUAUACCUUGGCAUCAUAUUGCAUAAAGACUGUUUAGUCUUACCCUUUAAGUGGGAGUGAGUAGCUAUUCCUUCAUGAGGUUUUCACCUCCGUACAGGAUAGUGAAUCACUUUCGGGAUACAUCCGUACCUAUGUCUUUGUGAGAUUUUCAUCUCCGUGCAGCCAUAGGGAAAUGUAUUCCCCCGAACCAAACUCGGUCUGUAUGAGCCUAUAAUGGGUGAAGAUCGAGGAAUCUGUUGGUUCGGGUACCUCAACUUUAGAACCAAACCCCAUAUAGUGGACUUAGAAGCUCAACCUAGUUAGAACUAUUCCAAUCUCUCGUGAUUGCCUAGAUAGAUGAUUGUGUUUCUUAUACUUGAUUUGAAUUUUGUUUUUGUGUUGUACUGACUUGUUUAUGUUUUGUUGAUAUUGUUGCAUGUCACUGCAUAGUUCAAAGAGUGUCGAUUCAAGUUCAGUUACUAAAUUAGAAAACCGUUAUGGCAAACGAAUUUCUGGAUAAAGUGGAGGAUAACGCCAUUGUCAGUAUAUGGUCAGAGAAUGUGCAAUUGGAAAAAGGAGACAAUUUAUCUAAGGGAUACGUGUCAGAGCUUUGGGACUACACUCGUAUUAGUGUGACACAAAAUAGCCUUCAGGAGUUAAAUGAGAUUUGGGAUCGGUGGAAUGAUGAAACCAAGCAGUUGUUCUACUCUAAUUACGGGGACUUGCAGUACUUACUUAAAAUCAAGGUGGAUGAAAGACUGUUUCGCGCUCUCGCUCAAUAUUGGAAUCCUGCAUAUAGUUGUUUUACUUAUGGGAACGUAGAUUUGGUGCCCACAGUGGAGGAAUAUACAGCUUUACUACACUGCCCUAGGCUUCAGGUUGAUAAAGCAUAUUCUAGAGCCGCAUAUGUCCCAGCGUUUUGGAAGAAAUUAAUGAGUAUUACCGGAAUGAGCGAAUAAUGGAUCACGGCCAAGAUCAAACAGAAGGGCGAGUGUAAAUGUAUCCCAUGGAGGAAUUUGCGAGACUUGAUCCUAGCACAUCCUGAUGGGAAAAAGAAAGUUGAUGUGUUUGCUUUGAGUAUCUACGGGUUAGUGAUUUUCCCUAGAGCAUUGGGGCAUGUUAACGAAGUGGUUUCAGAUCUUUUUGAUCGGUUGGGUAAAGGGGUCAAGUCUGUUCCUGCGAUUUUGGCUGAAACGUUUAGAUCUUUGAAUGCGUGUAGGCAUGCUGGUGAAGGCAGAUUUAUAGGUUGUGCGCAAUUGUUGAUAGCUUGGUUCCAUAGUCAUUUCUUGAAGGUCGACAAAGUUUCGUAUCGGGUUUUCUCUGGGCAUUACUCCCCGUUAAAAGAGAUAGUGGCUACGCCAAGAAAGGACGAUAUUUCAGAAGAAAAUUGGAUAGCAAUUCUGUAAAAUCUUCAAGAGGAUGAUGUGGAGUGGAGAGCUCAUUGGUUGAUUCCUGAUGGAAUUCUCUACCGUUGUGAAAGCUUUGACUGGGUUUCGUUGCUUGGGAUUUGGGGAGCCGUCGGGUAUGCACCUUUGCUGGUCCUAAGGCAAUACAAUUCAAGACAGUUUGUGCCGGCAAUGUAUGGUUUAGCUCAAUGUGAGUUCUUGUACCGAGGAGACAAUUACAAGAAAAAGGUGAAAGAAAUUUCUCAGGCUUGUAAUGAGGUUCAUAGGAUGAAAAGGCUAGCUAUGGGUUCGAUGACAACUCCAGAGUAUGGUGAGUGGCGACGUAAAAUAAUUAAUGAUAGCAUUCUGGAGUUAAACUUGGAGGGUGUUCGACUAAUGGAAGAGUACCUACAAGUGAUCCCAUCAGAGUUGGAGAUUAUAAAACAAGAUUUUGAAAAGAGGAAUUUAGAACUUGAAAAGAAAAUAGAGCGGUUGGAAGAAGAGAAGAUGCAUUUGAGGCUAGAUAUUGACGUCCAAAAGUUAAAAGCUGAAAAAUUAAAGAAGUGGAAGAAUAAAGUAGAGGAGGAUCUGGAUAGCUUAAAGACGGACUACAAAAGGCUACGAGUAUCAAUGAGAACUGCUGGGCUGGGAAAGAAUUCAGAGCAGUGGCGACAGGAGAUCUAGGAAGAAAGAAACAAAGUCGAUCGGUGGGAAAGAAAGUCCUGGGAGGCUCAAGUUCAGAACGAGACCUUAGAACGGCAUGUGUUAGAAACUCAAAACUAUUAAGUGGACUUAAAAGCUAGAAUAGCAGAACUAAAGAGAUCACUUGCUGCGUAUAGAAGUCGUAAUUCUGUAGUGGAAUUAAAGAUAAGUCUGUGCAAGAUUGAAGAAAUGAAAAAGAGGAUAGAAGAAUUGGAGUAUGCAUUACAAGGCUGUAAAAAACGGAUCGAAUCCUUGGAAGGAAAUGAAGAGCGUUAGAGGGAGCAAAUUUAUCAUUCGCAGAAUCAAAUUUAGAAUAGAGAUUACAUUAUGGGCAGAGCUAUUGCUCAGAUUCGGGAGGUAGGUGAUCAUUUGCAAACAAUGGCAAUUCAGGCUGACGUGUUAAACGUAAAGUAUGAACUGGAAUCAGAUCGAGGGCAGGAGUUAGCUUCGCUGUUGAAGGAAGUUAAAGCUUUGAGUAUUAGGGCAAAGGCAUACUUGUAAUUCAUUUUAUGUAAAGAAUUUUGUUUAUCAAUAAAUUUUUCUAAAGGAAAUUGGAUCAGAAUCGACGCUCUUUUUGCAUUGAUUUCAUGCAUUUGCAUUACAUGACAUCAUAUGCAUUCAAGACUAUUAAGAAGAGGUUUUAAUUGGUUAAAAUUGUGCUUCAGUUAAUCUGGAAACCAGUAAAAAUUCAUCAAUCAAGCACCACUACGGUACCCGUGCGAAAUCAAAAAUUAUGGAUCAAAGAUUGGAAAAGCUUGAGCGCUUUCAAAAGGAAAUGCAAGAUCAAAUGAAAGAACAAAUGGAAAAGAUUCAGCAUGACAUGAUACAAAAGAUGCAGGAGUCUUAAAAUGACAUGAUGACUAAGUUGACGCAAUUAAUAACCAGAGGAGUAGAUAAAGGGAAAGGUCCUGUGAUUUGUAAUGAAGAAGAAAACAAUGAUGAACCACUUUUUCCUCCAGGUUUUACGCCUCCGCACGCGCAAGUUUAGACUGAACUGCAUCCGCGGAGACCUUCUGUUUCGAUUAGGCCUCAGCAUUUUCAAGGGGAUGUUUCAAUGCCGAAGACCUUUCAGGUCGGAUCUGGCUCUAAUCUUGGUGAUAAUUUGAAUAAUAUUGUUGUCCCGUAUUUCGAUAAAGUAGCUGAGAAGGAUAAGGUGAAGGAAGAGUUUCCAAAGCAGUUUGAGGAGAAAUAGAAAUGGAUUGAAGAGAAAUUUAGAACGAUGGAAAGCAUUGAAAGCUAUGGUGGAAUAGAUGAAAAAAAUCUGAGUCUGGUUUCGAAUUUGGUACUUUAUUACAAGUUUAAGAUGUCAGAAUUUGAGAAAUACAAUGGGACCAGUUGCCCUGAGGCCCAUAUCACCAUGUUCUGUAGGAGAAUAACGGGGUAUAUUAAUAAUGACCAAUUAUUAAUACAUUGCUUUCAGGAUAGUCUUACAAGGGCGGCGUCAAAAUGGUAAAAUCAGCUGAGCCGAACCAAAAUCGCUACUUGGAGGGAUUUGGCACAGGCUUUCAUGAGACAGUACAAUCAUGUAUUACAAAUGACGCCUAAUCGAAUAACUUUACAGAAUUUGGAGAAAAAAUCAAACGAAAGCUUCAGACAGUAUGCGCAGCGAUGGAGGGAAAUCGCAGUUCAGGUUCAGUCAGCACUUGUGGAAAAGAAAAUGACAAUGCUUUUUAUCAAUACAUUGAAAGCCCCGUUCAUUACUCACAUGUUGGGAAGUGCUUCAAAGAACUUCUCGGAUAUAAUCAUGAAUGGUGAAAUGAUUGAGCAUGCUAUUAAGAGUGGAAUAAUAGAUGGAGGGGAGAAUAAUAGAAGGACAGCCCCAAAGAAAAGAGAAAAUGAAGUGAGCAAUGUGAGCGGAUACGGCAGGUCAAUUACGGUUAAUCAACCAGGAAAGGCAGUUGCUAAUCAAUAAAGCUCAUCAAGACAAGAAGUAGGAGGGAGGUAAAACACUAAAAAACCCUAGUUUACGCCAAUUUCGAUGUCAUACGAGGAGUUAUAUCAGAAUUUAUUUAAUGCAUAUGGUGUUUCCCCUCAUUAUUUGACCCCUUUACAACCCCCUUAUCCCAAAUGGUACGAUAUAAAUGCACAAUGUGACUAUCAUGCGGGAAUCUCGGGGCAUUCAAUAGAGAAUUGCAUAACUUUCAAGAAGGUAGUGGAAAAACUCAUCCGCAUGAGUGUUGUCAAAUUUGAUGACUCACCUAACGUAGAAAAUCCGUUACCUAAUCAUGCUGAUAAGGGAGUGAAUAUGAUGGGUGAAAGUAUGGGAGAAAAAGUCAAGAAUGACAUCGGUGAAGUAAAAACUCCAUUGAAACAAGUCUGGAAAGAGAUGGUGAAAAGAGGACUAGUCAUUUCAGAUUUUGAGGAAGAAGAUGAGGUUGAAAAAUAUUGUGAAUUCCACCGUGAAGUAGGACAUGAGAUUCAAGAAUGUGAAGAAUUUAAAGCUCUGGUCCAAAGCAUGAUGGAUAACAAGGAAAUGAAGUUCUAUGAGGAAACAGAGGAAGAAAGAAGCAUAUGCGCGUCGGAAUCAACAACGAAGAUUUCAAAAAUAAAUCAUCCUGUGGUCAUUAUUUCGCACCCUAAGAACAGUAAGGCUAAGGUCUAGGUAACACCAAAAAUUAUAAUCCAUAAGCCGUCAAAUUUCUCAUAUAAAGAUAGUAAAAUGGUUCCGUGGAAGUAUGGAUGCAAUGUGACAAUCUCAACGUUUUUAUUUUUGUUUUAUUUUUAUUUUACAUUAAUUUUACCUAUUCUUUAAUUAAAAAAUUUAUAAUGACUUAGAGUUUAUUUAAUAGAGUUUUUUUUUAUAAUCGGUCUUAUAAUAAAAUUUUAUAAGGUGGGACCAAGUCCCACAGUGACAACAUGAUCCCUCAAUUUUUGGUGGUGGGAUGCCUUUAGUCAAAGGAUCAACUAACAUCUGCUCAAUGCUAAUGUGCUCAAUGACCAAUUUCUUUUCAUUAACAUGUUCCCUUAUGCCUAGGUACUUAAAGUCGAUAUGUUUACUUCGACUUCCACUUCUUUCAUUCUUAGCCAUAAAGACAGCAGUUGAAUUGUCACAAUAUAUGAAAUAAUCAAAACCCAUAAUGACUCAGCCCAAAAAACUCGAGCUUCAAACCCAAAUUAAAUUAAAUCAAAACCAUAAUUUAUUAUGUACAAUUGCACAAAAUUAACAUAAUUUAAGUGUGUCAUACUGCACAUUAAAUUAAAGUUUACGUUUGACAUUAUAGAUAAUAUUCACGUGUAAAAUUUUGAGAUUUAUUCCUUUCAUUAAAGUAAUAUGUCAAAUAGAAUACUUGAACAAUCCUCCAUGUUGGCAAAGUUUAUGUACAGUAGUAGAAGUGAACUAAAUAAUUAGAAUAAAUCUAAAGUAUGUCUUACAUAUAAUUUAUUCACAAUGUGACUUAAACUUUGUCCUUCAAGAUUUCACGGUCUCAAUUUAUGUCUUAAAAUUUUAAGAUCAUUUUAGGUUUGUUAAAAAAUUAAAAUUUUAGAAAGUUAGAAUUGUUGCUUGAGGCGUGAAUAUUCUUAUUCUUUAGGAUAUUUGUGGAUUUACCAUCUCUUAGGAUUUCGUUUGUAUCAUGCACAAUGAAAAAAUUGAAAAAAAAAUUUCCCAUUUGAAUGGAAUUGAGCUAUUAGGCUCAAGCCUAGUGUGCGCAUAUAUAUUCUCUUAUUUUGAGUCUUACAAGUUUAUAGUAAACCAAAUCUAUAUAAACAUCAUUUAAUAGGUCAAUCUAAAAUAUGUUUAAUAUGUGUAAUUCUUUAAAAUAGAUGAAAACUUCAAAUAUGGUUUAGGUCAUUUUCAGAUUUGUCUUAUUUUAGGUUCAAAUCAUUCGAAUUUGAGGCUAAGUUUUCCAUGUCUAAUCAUUAUUGAUCCGAAUCAUUUUAGAUUUUGAUCAUUUUAAGUUCCAAUUAUUUUGUGAUCAAAUCAUUUCAAGUUUAGAUAAAUUUGGGUCAAUUCGAAUUUGACUUAAUUACGUAGUUAACUUUUUUUUAUAAUAAAUUGAGCUGAAUGAAAGUUAGAUUGAAAUUUAUUUAGUGUGCCUUUGUGUUUAAGUCGAAAUUUAAACAUCUUCCUUCAAAAUAAACAUGUUAAGACAAUUUUAUUUUAAAGACAAUAAUACAACAUAGUUGAUUUGGGAGAUAAACAUGUUAAUUUUUUAAUCCCAACCAAAAUUGUACAUAAUUCUUUUAUGUCAUAUUAAAUACAUGUAACGUCUUAUAAAAAUUGUCAAUAAAUUAUGCCUAGCGACAACGUUAUUCAACUCUAAUUUCAUUGUUAAUACCUAUUUCUAUUUUUCUUCUACUGUCUUCAACUUUAAAUAUAAAGGGAUUGAAAUUUUAAGAAUUGAGAUUUCUUUUCUCUGUAUUAGUGGACGUUUGAUUUUUUGUUUGAUUGUUUUCUUUACUGGAAUUGACACAUAUCUUUUCAGAUUUAUCAAUAUUUUUAAAAUUUAUUUAAGAUAUGUAUAUAAAUAUAUUACAAACGUAAUGGCCCAAUAUUGCCCGGCCCGAUAAUAAAAAAUGAUAAAAUAAAUAAAGGUCCAAUGUCCAGCUUUUACAAACCCAAAAUCAAUACGGCCCAAUUAGCCUAAACCCAAUUAGCUUUAACCCAACUUAGCCCAAGACUCUCCUUAAACCCUGAAAACCCUAGGCAACAGGAGCCUCCUUCCAGCGCCGCAACCAUCAGCUGGGCUUCUCCAUGCACACGCUGCCACGCACAUCUCCGUACGGCCACCUCCGUACCUCCAGGCUGGCCGAAUACCUGUAAAAAAAACGCACGGAAACAACAGCAAAUAGAAAAACAACAGCAUAGGGGUGAAUUUUUAAUUAUUUUUUCAUUUUAUUUUCUGUAAAUCGGGAUAUAAGAAAGCCAUUCGAAUACUAUAACGGGAUUUACGCAUUCAAUAUACAAAGAAAUUGAGAAUACAAAAGAAUCAAAAAAGCAGAGAAAGGUGAUUUUCUAGGUUUUUUAUUCCUUUCUAUCUUGUUGGUUACUUGAUUCUUUUCUUUACUUUUUUAAUUUGUACGUUCAUCAAUCGUUGUUUAAAAAAGAAAUAGGAAAAAGAAAGGGAGGGAAACGUACCUGGUAGCGCGACCCUGGCUCUCUCCGGCGUCAUCGGAGCAGGGGCUGGGAUCAAUGACUGCUCGAAUACUUUCAAUACCUAGAGCGGCGCUGAGUUUUUUUUCGUUUAGGUUUUUGUUUUAAUGUAAAGAUAGGUUUUUAGGGUUUAUUUAGUUUUAAGUGAAGGAAUUAAAACGUCGACGUUUAAAGUCGAUGCAAUGACUUUGAAACAGCGUCGUUUUAGAGACCAGAUCCGAACGGUGACUUGAUCCGGGAAGGAUCCAUGCAUUAUGGAUCAUUUGGUCUAUUUGUUCAAUAGAUCCCUCUAUGUUUAAUGGAAUUGCGAUUUGAUUUCUUUUAAUUGUUUGUAAUUUGUACUGCAUAUUUUGUUCUGUUUUCAUUUAGAUCCAGAUUGAAAUGGUAUCGUUUACUGCGUUUGACUUUGAUUAUUCGGAGCUUUUGGGUUUAAUUGUCGAGUCAGUCCUCCAAUUUUGAAAUAAAUUUUAAUUUAACAUGAGUUUAGCCUUUUAAAAAAGAAGAAGAAGAAAUCAAUAGCAUUUUUUAAUUAUAAUUAAUCCUAUUUUCGUACAUUAUAAAACCUAACAUUAUUUGUAAUAUUUGAUUUUUAUGUUUUUAAAUCUACAAUUAUUAUAACUUAAGAUAUAAUAGAUCAUUGUUUUAGUUUAUAUCCUAUACUUUAAAUUUAUUAUAUAAUAAUAUUUUGAAUCUACCAUAUUUAUUUAAUUUUGUCUUUUCCUUUUGGUUCCAUUUUAAGUCCCGAUUUUAAAUUUAUUAAUAUUUUCAUUAUAAUUGUUGUUAUUACUCUUCUAAAUUGUUUUACUAUAUUUAAUUUUCUCUUCAAAAAGUGUUUUUUAAAACAAAUUAAUUCUUAAUUUUAAUUCAUUUUCUAACAUUAUUUUGGUAUUUAGUAUGAUAUUAUUUUCAAAUUUAUUAUUAGUACAUUUUUUAAAAUAAUACAUUAUUUUUUUAAAUUAUUAUCAAUAUGUUUUAUUUUAUCAAUAUUAGUUUAAAAAUAUAUAUGAUUUAUAUGAAAUUAUUCUAGUAUAUAUGUAUAUAGAUUACAUCAUUAACUUUAGAUUAACCUCUUUUACAUAAUUUUUUUAAAAUGUUUUAUUCCUUAAACCUUAUUUAUUUUAUUUGUUUUAUAGGUUGUUAAAUUAUUAAUAUGGAUGUUUGUAUGACAUGAUUAAGAUCAAUGUUUAUAUUUUCCUAUUAUUUGUUUAAUUGCUUCUAGUUUAAGUUUAAGUUGUUAUUUAUCUUUUAUAUAUCGUUAUUUAAUCAUGUUUUAUUUGUAAGAAUUGAAUUUUAUUAAAGCAUCAUAAUUCCUAAAAAAGCUUGGUGUUUAAUAGUUCUCAAGAGAGUUGUGCCCUAACUUACUGGGCUUCAAUUCUUCUCGAUGAAUUUAUAUCAUCAAGUAUCCACUUUAUACAAUUUUAAAAUAAAAUUCUUUAGAUUUCAAAAUGUGGGAUCCUAGCUUACUGGAUACGACAUUUUGUUAUCUCGAUGUUAAAAUAAAUGCAAUAUUUGAUGUUUAAAAAUUUCAAGAAAUCGAACCCUAACUUACUAGAUUCUGAUUUCUCGAUUGACUUAAAUAGUCAAAUAUCCUUCUUAAAACAUGUUUAAAAUUUUCAAAAAAGGGACGAACUUAACUUCGAAGAUUGAACUGUUGCACUCUAACUCACUGAGUGUGGCGAUUUGUUUCUUUGAAAUGGGUCCGUCCACUUAACCAAUUCAAUUGUUUAAGUUUUCAUUUCAUGGGAUCGUAUUUAAAAAUCUUUUCAAGUUUCGACACUAAGACAUUAAAUAACCAAUUCGGUACCAAUUUUGGGCGUUACGAGGGUGCUAACCCUUCCUCGUGUGUAACCGACUUCCGAACUUAUCUUCUCAAAAUUCGCAGACCAAAAAACUUGUUUUCAAGGUGAUCCGAUCACACCUCAACAAAAAUCGGUGGCGACUCCAAUUUUCAUUUUUUAAAGUCGACUACUAAUAAAUUUUUGUUUUCAAAAAAUGAUUUCGACAACAAAUAUAAAAUAAAUGAAACUAAAUACAUUUCAAAUAUAAAAUAUUCAAUAAUAAACUUAACAAAUAAAAAUUUAUCAUUGAAAUAAAUCCAAAAUUAUUAAUAACAAUCCAUCAUUUAAUAUGAAAUUUUAAAGAUUUAGCUCAUUUACUUAAUAAGAGAAGCUGAAAGGUGAACGAAUAUAUAUUUCUUUUAGAAUCAGGUGAACGGUUUUUUCUUAACUAUAUUUUGAAUGUGAAAGUAUAUUCCAUUUUUUAAAAACUUUACAUUUCCAUGUAGCAUUUUUAGUUAGUUACGUUUCAAUUAAGUUUUUAGCAUAAUAGUAAAUAAUUAAAAGUUUAAUAUUUUUAAUAUUAUUCAUGCACAGGACGGUGCAUUAUGUUCUGGUAGGUGUGACAGGAAUUGAUCGGAAUGAGUUGGUGCAAUUGGUACAGACCGAAAUUUUGACCAGUGUAGAAAAAGCGUGUUGGGUGUUUUGCAAUGUUAUUAAAACCAAACUAAACAGACCAAGAACCGAUGAACCUGAGGACUAGAGUAAACUGUAGUUAAACUACAAAUCAUCAGUCGAUUAAGCCGUAUUUAAACAUUUUCUAAACUUGAAAAAUAAAAAAUUCACAUCAAAUCCCUUGAGCUUUUGUCACACUUCUUAUCUGCACUCAAUGAAAUAAAACACAACAAAAAAUAAGCACCAUUCCUUUUAUUACUUUUUCUACUAAAGUAAGUUUUUUUUUCUCGUAAAAAACCUAAGAUGGACUUAUAACAUUCAAUCAAAGGAAAAACAAAUUAGGAAAGUAGAAAGAUGGGGAGAGAGUUUUAAAAUUCAAAGCCUUUAAAAUUGAUAGAUGAGUUUGGGGUUAUUAAUAUUAUUUUAUAUUGUUGAAUAGAAAAUGAAUUGUAUUGGUGGUUGAAUGUGUGAGAUUAAGAAUUAAUGAUUUGAUUAAUUUGAUUAUCAAUCUAAUUUUAUAAAUAGUAAUAUUUCGAUAUAAAAUUGAAACAGUAGACACAAAUGAGCAUAACCGAAAUCUGUAACCACCUUAAUUUAAUACAUAAUUUGAGAUUCAUAUAAAAUAUUAUCUUUGAAAUAUAUUGAAAGAGGAAAGUAAUCGUACGUAAAUGCAUAACUUGGAAGAGAUAAUGAAGCAGGAAUCAUUAUAUUAACAGUGGUAUUUUCUCGAUGUACGGCUGCACAAUAUCUUGACCUGCAUUUCUCGUUUGAUUCUUUUCUUAAUUAGCUAAACUCAUGUUAACAAUGGUAUAACAGUAAUUAAUUACUUCAUGGACAGAACAUCAAUAUAUAAAUACCCCAUAUAUAAUAAGCAACAACGUAUCAAAAUACACCAAAUAAUGGGAACUGGAGAACGCCCAUUUAUACAAACAAAUAUAAGUAGGAAAAAUCAAUACUCAUAAUAAAGACACAAAGAGGACUAAAAACCUUAUUAAACUAGAUCCAGUAUGUAGCAUAACAGAAAAGGGGGCAUUUCAAGGAGUAGAACUAGAAGGUGGUGGAGAAAAGAAAGGAAUAGAGGGAACUGCAGCUGGGAUUGAGGGAAUGUUUGGAAGAGGCGGCAGUCCUCUUGGCAAUGUGGUAGGAAGUGGAGGAAGCGCCCCAGGGUUUGGGAGAUAAGGGAAAGAUGGCAAUGGUGGAAAAUAGAAAGGAAUAGGGGGAACAGCAGUUGGGAUUGUGGGGACUGAGGGAAUGCUUGGCAGAGGGGGUAGUCCUGUUGGCAAUGUGGUAGGAAGUGGAGGAAGCGCCCCAGGCCAUGGGAAUGAUUGUCGGGAUGGCGUUGGGAGAUUAGAGAAAGAUGGUAAACUUCGCGGUUGAGGCUGCUGCAGAAGGUGACGAGCUGCUACCCCAACAUCAAUGCUUGCAAAUGACAAAGCAAUCAAGAAUGCUAAAGCAAGGCAAUUGAAAGAGGCCAUUUUUGUUCAGAGAUUUCGAAACAAAUGAAGCAGAUGAAACAAAGUUCUUUAUCUGAAUAGUUGUGGGUGAAGAAAACAAAGCACGGUAUUGAGGUUUAUAUAGGCAUUGGAGCAAUGAAUAGAAAUCCCCUGCCCCUAAACAAUGCCCCAUGCAUGCCCCCAAACCAAAAUAGCGCCACAUGUUUUUUAUUUUUUUCCAUUUUAGUUGUAGUUCAUUUUUUAAAUAAAAAUUUAUAAUGAUUUGGAUGAAUUUUUAACUUAUUAUCAACGUUUUUGUUUUUGUUUUAUUUUCUAUUAAUUUUACCUAUUCUUUAAUUAACAAAUUUAUAAUGACUUGGAAUUAAUUUAACAGUGUUUUUUUUUAUAAUCGUUCUUAUAAUAAAAUUUAAAAAGGUGGGAACGAGUCCCACAAUGACAACAUGAUCCAUGCCUUUAGUCAAAGGUUCAGAUAACAUCUGCUCAGUGUUAAUGUGCUCAAUGACGACUUUCUUUUCUUUAACAUAUUCCCUUAUGGCUAGAUACUUAAAAUCGAUAUGUUUACUUCGACUUUCACUUUUGUCGCUCUUAGCCAUAAAUACAGCAAUUGAAUUGUCACAAUAUAUGAAAUAAUCGAAACCUAUAAUGACUCAGCUCAAAAAACUCGAGCCUCAAACCCAAAUUAAAUUAAAUCAAAAUCAUAAUUUAUUAUAUACAAUUGCAUAAAAUUAACAUAAUUUAAGUGUCAUAGUGCACAUUAAAUUAAAGUUUAUGUUUGACAUUAUAGAUUGAAGCAAUAUUCAUGUGUAAAAUUUUGAGAUUUAUUUCCUUAAUGAAAGUAAUAUUUCAAAUAGAAUACUUGAACAAUCCUCCAUGUUGGCAAACUUUAUGUACAUUAGAAACGAACUAAAUAAUUAGAAUAAAUCUAAAGUAUGGCUUACAUUUAAUUUAUUCAUAAUGUGACUUAAACUUUGGCCUUCAAGAUUUCACGGUCUCAAAUUAUGUCUUAAAAUUUUAAGAUCAUUUUAGGUUUGUUAAAAACAUCAAUAGUUUAGAAAGUUAGAAUUGUUGCUUGAGGCGUGGAUUUCCCUAUUCUUUAGGAUAUUCGUGGAUUUACUAUCCCUCAAGAUUUAAUUUGUAUCAUGUGCAAUGAAAAAAUUGAAAAAGAAAAUUCCCAUUUGAAUGGAAUUGAGCUAUUAGGCUCAGGCCUCGUGUGCGCAUAUAUAUUCUCUUAUUUUGAGUCUUACAAGUUUAUAGUAAACCAAAUCUAUAUAAACAUCAUUUUAUAAGUGUAUCUAAGAUAUGUUUAAUAUGUGUAAUUCUUUAAAAUACAUGAAAACUUCAAAUGUGGUUUAGGUCAUUUUCAGAUUUGUCUUAUUUAGGUUCAAAUCAUUCGAAUUUGAGGCUAAGUUUUUCAUGUGUAAUCAUUAUUGAUCCGAAUCAUUUUAGAUUUUGAUCAUUUUAAGUUCUAAUUAUUUUGUGAUCAAAUCAUUUCAAGUUUAGAUAAAUUUGGGUCAAUUUUGAAUUUGACUUAAUUACGUAAUUAACCUUUUUUAUAAUAAAUUGAGCUGAAUGAACUUUAGAUUGGAAUUUAUUUAGUGUACCUUUGUGUUUAAGUUGAAAUUUAAACAUCUGUAUUAGAAAUACACAUGUUAAUACAAUUUUAUGUUAAAGACAAUAAUACGACAAAAUUAAUUUGGGAGAUAAACAUGUUAAUUUUUUAAUCCCAACCAAAAUUGUACAUAAUUGUUUUAUAUCAUAUUAAAUACAUGUAACGUCUUAUAAAAAUUGUCAAUAAAUUAUGCCUAGCGACAACGUUAUUCAAAUCUAAUUUCAUUGUUAAUACCUAUUUCUAUUUUUCUUCUAAUAUCUUCAACUUUAAAUAUAAAGGAAUUGAAAUUUUAAGAAUUGAGAUUUCUUUUCUUUAUAUUAGUGGACAUUUGAUUUUUUGUUUGAUUUUUUUUACUAGAAUUGAUGCAUAUCUUUUCAGAUUUAUCAAUAUUUUUUAAAAUUAUUUAAGAUAUGUAUAUAAAUAUAUUACAAAUAUAAAAUGAAUGAAACUAAAUACAUUUCAAAUAUAAAAUAUUCAUUAAUAAACUUAACAAAUAAAAAUUUAUCAUUCAAAGAAAUCCAAAAUUAUUAAUAAUAAUCCAUCAUUUAAUAUGAAAUUCUAAAGAUUUAGCUCAUUUACUUAAUAAAAGAAGGUGAAAGGUGGACGAAUAUUUUUUAUUUGAUAAUCAGGUAAAUGGUUUUUUCUUAAUUAUAUUUUGAAUGUGAAAGUAUAUUCCAUUUUUUUUUAAAAUUUACAUUCCGAUGUAGCGUUUUUAAUUAGUCACGUUUCAAUUAAGUUUUUAGCAUAAUAGUAAAUUAUUAAAAGUUUAAUAUUUUUAAUAUUAUUCAUGCAUAGGACGGUGCACUAUGUUCUGGCAGGUGUGACAGGAAUUGAUCGGAAUGAGUUGGUGCAAUUGGUACAGACCAAAAUUUUUACCAGUGUAGAAAAAGGGUUUUGGGUGUUUCGCAAUGUUAUUGAAACCAAACCAAACAGACCAAAAACCGAUGAACCCGAGAACUAGAGUAAACUGCAGUUAAACUGCAAAUCAUCAGCUGAUUAAGCCGCAUUUCGCAUUUUCUAGACUGGAAAACAAAAAUUUCACUUCAGAUCCCUUGAGCUUUUGUUACACUUCUUCUCUUAACUCAAAAUAAAACAAACCAUACAAAGAAUAAGCACUGUUUCUUUUAUUACUUUUUUAUUACUCAGUGAAAAACCUGGACUUAUAACAUUCAAUCAAAGGAAAAAAAAGACAAAUUAGGAAAGAUGAAAGAUGGGGAGAGGGUUUUAAAAUUCAAAGCCGUCAAAAUAGAUGAGUUUGGGGUUAUUAAUAUUAUUUUAUAUUGUUCAAUAGAAAAUUAAUUGUAUCGGUGGUUGAAUCUGUGAGAUCAAAAAUUAAUUAAUUGAUUAAUUUAAUUAUCAAUCUAAUUUUAAAAAUAUUAAUAUUUCGGUAUAAAAUUAAUACAGUGCACACAAAUUAAUAUAACCGAAAUCUGUACGAAACCGAGCACCUUAAUUUAAUACAUAAUUUGACAUUCAUAUAAAAUAUUAUCUUGGAAAUAUAUUGAAAGAGGAAAGUAAUCGUAUGUAAAUGGAUAACUUGGAAGAGAUAAUGAAGCAGGAAUCAUUAUAUUAACAGUGGCAUCUUCUCGAUGUACGGCGGCUCACUAUUUUGACUGCAUUUAUCGUUUGAUUCUUUUCUUAAUUAGCCAAACUCAUGUUAACAAUGGUAUAACAGUAAUUAAUUACUUCAUGGAUAGAACAUCAAUAUAUAAAUACCCCAUAUAUAAUAAGCAACAACGUUUCAAAAUACACCAAAUAAUGGGAAUUGGAGAACGCCCAUUUAUACAAACAAAUAUAAGUGGGCAAAAUCAAUACUCAUAAUAAAGACACAAAGACGACUAAAAACCUUAUUAAACUAGAUCCAGUAUGCAGCAUAACAGAAAAGGGGGUAUUUCAAGGAGUAGAGCGAGAAGGUGGUGGAGAAAAGAAAGGAAUAGAAGGAACUGCAGUUGGGAUUGAGGGAAUGCUUGGCAGAGGCGACAGUCCUCUUGGCAAUGUGGUAGGAAGUGGAGGAAGCGCCCCAGGGUUUGGGAGAUAAGGGAAAGAUGGCAAUGGUGGAAAAGAGAAAGGAAUAGGGGGAAUUGCAGUUGGGAUUGUGGGGACUGAGGGAAUGCUUGGCAGAGGGGGCAGUCCUGUUGGGAAUGUGGUAGGAAGUGGAGGAAGCGCCCCAGGCCAUGGGAAUGAUUGUCGGGAUGGCGUUGGGAGAUUAGGGAAAGAUGGUAAACUUUGCGGUUGAGGCUGCUGCAGAAGGUGACGAGCUGCUACCCCAACAUCAAUGCUUGCAAAUGACAAAGCAAUCAAGAAUGCUAAAGCAAGGAAAUUGAAAGAGGCCAUUUUUGUUCAGAGAUUUCGAAACAAAUGAAGCAGAUGAAACAAAGUUCUUUAUCUGAAUAGUUGUGGGUGAAGAAAACAAAGCAUGGUAUUGAGGUUUAUAUAGGCAUUGGAGCAGUGAAUAGAAAUCCCCUGCCCCUAAACAAUGCUCCAUGCAUGCCCCCAAACCAAAAUAGCUCCACAUGUUUUUUAUUUUUUUCAUUUUAAUUUUUUAAAAUAAAAACUCUGUAAUGAUUUGAAUUAAUUUUUAACUUAUUAUCAACGUUUUUAUUUUUGUUUUAUUUUUAUUUUACAUUAAUUUUACCUAUUCUUUAAUUAACAAAUUUAUAAUGACUUAGAGUUAAUUUGAGAGAUUUUUUUUUUAUAAUUGGUCUUAUAAUAAAAUUUUACAAAGCAGAAACAAGUUCCACUGUGAAAACAUGAUCCUUAAAUUUUUGGAGAUAACCAUGUUAAUUUUUUAAUCCCAACCAAAAUUCUAAAUAAUUCUUUUAUGUCAUAUUAAAUACACGUAACGUCUUAUAAAAAUUGUCAAUAAAUUAUGCAUAGUGACAAGGUUAUUCAAAUCUAAUUUCAUUGUUAAUACCUAUUUCUAUUUUUCUUCUACUGUCUUCAACUUUAAAUAUAAAGGGAUUGAAAUUUUAAGAAUUGAGAUUUCUUUUCUCUGUAUUAGUGGACGUUUGAUUUUUUAUUUUAUUUUUUUAUUGGAAUUGAUACAUAUCUUUUCAGAUUUAUCAAUAUAUUUUAAAAUUUUAUAAGAUAUGUAUAUAAAUAUAUUAAAAAUAUAAAAUGAAUGAAACUAAAUACAUUUCACAUAUAAAAUAUUCAUUAAUCAACUUAAGAAAUAAAAAUUUAUCAUUCAAAUAAUCCAAAAUUAUUACUAAUAAUCUCAUUUAAUAUGAAAUUUUAAGGAUUUAGCUCAUUUACUUAAUAAAAGUAGUUGAAAGGUGAAUGAAUAUUUUUUUUAUAAUCGGGUGAAUGGUUUUUUUCUUAAUUAUAUUUUUAAUGUGAAAGUAUAUUCUAAUUUUUUUUAAAAACUUUACAUUCCGAUGUAGCAUUUUUAAUUAGUCACGUUUCAAUUAAGUUUUUAGCAUAAUAGAAAAUAAUUAAAAGUUUAAUAUUUUUAAUAUUAUUCAUGCGCAGGACGGUGCACUAUGUUCUGGCAGGUGUGACUGGAAUUGAUCGGAAUGAGUUGGUGCAAUUGGUACGGACCGAAAUUUUUACCAGUGUAGAAAAAGGGUGUUGGGUGUUUCACAAUAUUAUUGAAAGCAAACCAAAAAGACCAAGAACCGAUGAACCCGAGAACUAGAGUAAACUGCAGUUAAACUACAAAUCAUCUGUCGAUUAAGUCGUAUUUUCACAUUCUUUAAACCGGAAAAACAAAAAUUACACUUCAAAUCCCUUGAGCCAUUGUUAUACUUUUUCUCUGCACUCAAUGAAAUAAAACACAACAUAAAAAAAAUAAGCACCAUCUCUUUUAUUACUUUUACUACUAAAAUAACUUUUUUUUUCUUGUGAAAAACCUAAGAUGGACUUAUAACAUAUAAUAAAAAGGGAAAAAAAAGACAAAUUAGGAAAGAUGAAAGAUGGGGAGAGGGUUUUAAAAUUCAAAGCCGUCAAAAUAGAUGAGUUUGGGGUUAUUAGUAUUAUUUUAUAUUGUUCAAUAGAAAAUUAAUUGUAUCGGUGGUUGAACCUGUGAGAUCAAAAAUUAAUUAAUUGAUUAAUUUAAUUAUCGAUCUAAUUUUAAAAAUAUUAAUAUUUCGGUAUAAAAUUAAUACAGUGCACACAAAUUAAUAUAACCGAAAUCUGUACGAAACCGAGCACCUUAAUUUAAUACAUAAUUUGACAUUCAUAUAAAAUAUUAUCUUGGAAAUAUAUUGAAAGAGGAAAGUAAUCGUAUGUAAAUGGAUAACUUGGAAGAUAUAAUGAAGCAGGAAUCAUUAUAUUAACAGUGGCAUCUUCUCGAUGUACGACUGCUCACUAUUUUGACUGCAUUUAUCGUUUGAUUCUUUUCUUAAUUAGCCAAACUCAUGUUAACAAUGGUAUAACAGUAAUUAAUUACUUCAUGGACAGAACAUCAAUAUAUAAAUACCCCAUAUAUAAUAAGCAACAACGUAUCAAAAUACACCAAAUAAUGGGAAUUGGAGAACGCCCAUUUAUACAAACAAAUAUAAGUGGGCAAAAUCAAUACUCAUAAUAAAGACACAAAGACGAUUAAAAGCCUUAUUAAACUAGAUCCAGUAUGCAGCAUAACAGAAAAUGGGGUAUUUCAAGGAGUAGAGCGAGAAGGUGGUGGAGAAAAGAAAGGAAUAGAGGGAACUGCAGUUGGGAUUGAGGGAAUGCUUGGCAGAGGCGGCAGUCCUCUUGGCAAUGUGGUAGGAAGUGGAGGAAGCGCCCCAGGGUUUGGGAGAUAAGGGAAAGAUGGCAAUGGUGGAAAAGAGAAAGGAAUAGGGGGAACUGCAGUUGGGAUUGUGGGGACUGAGGGAAUGCUUGGCAGGGGGGGUAGUCCUGUUGGCAAUGUGGUAGGAAGUGGAGGAAGCGCCCCAGGCCAUGGGAAUGAUUGUCGGGAUGGAGUUGGGAGAUUAGGGAAAGAUGGUAAACUUUGCGGUUGAGGCUGCUGCAGAAGGUGACGAGCUGCUACCCCAACAUCAAUGCUUGCAAAUGACAAAGCAAUCAAGAAUGCUAAAGCAAGGCAAUUGAAAGAGGCCAUUUUUGUUGAGAGAUUUCGAAACAAAUGAAGCAGAUGAAACAAAGUUCUUUAUCUAAAUAGUUG